GAUGAACGCUGGCGGCGUGCCUAAUACAUGCAAGUCGAGCGAACGGACGAGAAGCUUGCUUCUCUGAUGUUAGCGGCGGACGGGUGAGUGACACGUGGAUAACCUACCUAUAAGACUGGGAUAACUUCGGGAAACCGGAGCUAAUACCGGAUAAUAUUUUGAACCGCAUGGUUCAAAAGUGAAAGACGGUCUUGCUGUCACUUAUAGAUGGAUCCGCGCUGCAUUAGCUAGUUGGUAAGGUAACGGCUUACCAAGGCAACGAUGCAUAGCCGACCUGAGAGGGUGAUCGGCCACACGGGAACUGAGACACGGUCCAGACUCCUACGGGAGGCAGCAGUAGGGAAUCUUCCGCAAUGGGCGAAAGCCUGACGGAGCAACGCCGCGUGAGUUAUGAAGGUCUUCGGAUCGUAAAACUCUGUUAUUAGGGAAGAACAUAUGUGUAAGUAACUGUGCACAUCUUGACGGUACCUAAUCAGAAAGCCACGGCUAACUACGUG
rnacentral:rRNA from 1 species